rnacentral:lncRNA from 1 species
CCAUCCUGGCAACGCUUCAGAGACUAAGCCCAGAGAGAAAGGCAUCAAUCGGAGGCCCAGAUAGCAGGUCUCGGGGUUGUCAGGAGUUAACUCAGCCUAGAGUUGACCUGGGAGGUGUUUCAACAUGGAGAAAAUAAGAAUGCAGAAAGGGAAUGGGUUUAGGAACAGACUGGAUCUGAACUGUCCCAGCCAUGUUUACCAAUGAAGAGUGUGAAAAGAAAAACCUGGCCUGGAAUUUUUAAAGGAGCACAGAGUCCUCACCCCUAGCAUCCUUUGUAGGAAGCAUGGGCCAAAGAGAAGAAUAGAGUCACUGCUCUUCAUGUGAUUUCCCUGGCUGUAGGAUGUUCCUCGGAAGCCCAUGGAUGUCCUGAGAUGUCCUUUAUACUUUCAGGCUUUGCUUUGCAUCCCAACUGAAUCUGGUUUUCCUAGCCAAUUGCUUGUUCCCCUCUAUCUGUUCCUGACCCAUUUAUACAGUCGAGCCCUACAUAAUAUGUCCCUCCACUGUGACAUCUUUGAAGAGUCCUCCCUCAUCCUUCUCGGGCAUUUCCUCUACUUCUCUACAACUUCUUGCUCAAUGUGAUUGUCUGUAUAUGCUUGGCCCAGGGAAUGGCACUAUUUGGAGACAUGACCUUGUUGGAGUAGGCGUGGCCUUGUUGAAGUGUGUGUGGCCCUGUUGGAGUAGGCGUGGCCUUGUUGAAGUGUGUGUGGCCCUGUUGGAGUUGGCAUGGCCAUGUUGGAGUAGAUGAGUCACUGUGGGUGUGGGCUUUAAGACCCUCAUCCUAGCUGCCUGGAAGCCACUAUUCUGCUAGCAGCCUUCAGAUGAAGAUGUAGAGAACUCUCAGCUCCUCCUGAACCAUGCCUGCCUGGAUGCUGCCAUGUUCCCACCUUGAUGAUAAUGGACUGAACCUCUGAACCUGUAAUCCAGCCGCAAUUAAAUGUUGU